rnacentral:rRNA from 1 species
GACGUAGGGCGCGAGCGUUGUCCGGAUUUAUUGGGCGUAAAGAGCUCGUAGGCGGCUCGUUGCGUCGGCUGUGAAAACCCGCAGCUCAACUGUGGGCUUGCAGCUGAUACGGGCGGGCUGGGAUUCGGUAGGGGAGACUGGAGUUCCUGGUGUAGCGGUGAAAUGCGCAGAUAUCAGGAGGAACACCGGUGGCGAAGGCGGGUCUCUGGGCCGAUAUCGACGCUGAGGAGCGAAAGCGUGGGGGGCGAACAGG